rnacentral:rRNA from 2 species
UAAGCCGUUGAAGGUGAAUCGUAAGGUUUGCUGGAGGUAUCAGAAGUGCGAAUGCUGACAUGAGUAACGACAAAGGGGGUGAAAAACCUCCUCGCCGGAAGACCAAGGGUUCCUGUCCAACGUUAAUCGGGGCAGGGUGAGUCGACCCCUAAGGUGAGGCCGAAAGGCGUAAUCGAUGGGAAACGGGUUAAUAUUCCCGUACUUCUGACUAUUGCGAUGGGGGGACGGAGAAGGCUAGGUGGGCCAGGCGACGGUUGUCCUGGUUCAAGUGCGUAGGCUUGAGAGUUAGGUAAAUCCGGCUCUCUCUAAGGCUGAGACACGACGUCGAGCUACUACGGUAGUGAAGUCAUUGAUGCCAUGCUUCCAGGAAAAGCCUCUAAGCUUCAGAUAGUCAGGAAUCGUACCCCAAACCGACACAGGUGGUCGGGUAGAGAAUACCAAGGCGCUUGAGAGAACUCGGGUGAAGGAACUAGGCAAAAUGGUACCGUAACUUCGGGAGAAGGUACGCUCUUGAUGGUGAAGUCCCUCGCGGAUGGAGCUGACGAGAGUCGCAGAUACCAGGUGGCUGCAACUGUUUAUUAAAAACACAGCACUGUGCAAAAUCGCAAGAUGACGUAUACGGUGUGACGCCUGCCCGGUGCCGGAAGGUUAAUUGAUGGGGUUAGCGCAAGCGAAGCUCUUGAUCGAAGCCCCGGUAAACGGCGGCCGUAACUAUAACGGUCCUAAGGUAGCGAAAUUCCUUGUCGGGUAAGUUCCGACCUGCACGAAUGGCGUAAUGAUGGCCACGCUGUCUCCACCCGAGACUCAGUGAAAUUGAAAUCGCUGUGAAGAUGCAGUGUACCCGCGGCUAGACGGAAAGACCCCGUGAACCUUUACUACAGCUUGGCACUGAACAUUGAACCUACAUGUGUAGGAUAGGUGGGAGGCUAUGAAGACGUGACGCCAGUUGCGUUGGAGCCGUCCUUGAAAUACCACCCUUGUAUGU